rnacentral:lncRNA from 1 species
GCUGGUUUUCCCACCCUAAUCUUAUUAUGUAAAUGGGCUUUCCACUUGAUCAGUGCCAUCCUGUCUGCUCGUUACUGUACACGUGGCUGGCAAAGAGAUGAGAAGAUGGAGUCGCCAUUGUGAUCAUGCCUAGUCUCAGGGACAUGGAUGAAUCUGGAGAACAUCAUCCUCAGCAAACUGACACAAGAACAGAAAACGAAACACCGCAUAUUCUCACUCAUAGAUGUUACAGAAAGACAACAGAAUGUGAAGGUCAUGUUGGUCAGCCAAAUCAAAGCUGGUUCCACAGGCAAAUCACAUGGAAUUCAUUGACAUCGGUGCCCACAGUGAGAAGCAGCCCAGCAUCCUGUACUCAGCAUGGUGAUACUGCUCCACGUAUUGUUGAAGGGUUGACAGACAUUUUGCAUCAAUUUACCAUUCAAGAGGGUUUCAAAAGAUGACUAAAACUACUAGUGCUAAAUGCAAGUAUUAAAUGAUAAACACUUUUCAGAAAGUCAAGUUCAUAGGCCUGCCUAUAUUACUCAUUUAUUCUACUUAUUCACUCAUUUAUCCACUCAUUCAUUUACACAGACACACACGCAUGCGCACGCGCGCACACACACACACACACACACACAGAGAGAGAGAGAGAGAGAGAGAGAGAGAGAGAGAGAUUAACAAGUAUGUUCAAGGCAUUAUACCAGAAAAAAGAUCAUUAUGACAACACUCUAACCUCAAGGAACGGAUCAUCUAUUAGUAAAAGUACUCUAGCAGAAAAUGAAGAAUGAUAAGUGUAAAUAAUAAUUUAAAAAAUCAGGGGGAUCAAAAUCCUGAUGCAACGAUGUCCUGAAUAGUUGGUGAAAAGGGAAGGUAGGCUGGAAGGUUGUGCUCAAUGGAAAAAGCUGCACAACAGUAUAAUAAUUAUCACCAAAGUUACAGACAAAAUAAAUGCUCUUUGAAUUAAAUUUUCUAUGUCCCCAAAUACUUGUAAAUUUGCAAAGAAUAAGAGAGAAUUUUAAUAUUCAGAAAAUAUUUUAUAUUGCAUGUUAA